CCUACGGGGGGCUGCAGUGGGGAAUAUUGCACAAUGGGCGCAAGCCUGAUGCAGCCAUGCCGCGUGUGUGAAGAAGGCCUUCGGGUUGUAAAGCACUUUCAGCGGGGAGGAAGGCGUUAAGGUUAAUAACCUUGUCGAUUGACGUUACCCGCAGAAGAAGCACCGGCUAACUCCGUGCCAGCAGCCGCGGUAAUACGGAGGGUGCAAGCGUUAAUCGGAAUUACUGGGCGUAAAGCGCACGCAGGCGGUCUGUCCAGUCGGAUGUGAAAUCCCCGGGCUCAACCUGGGAACUGCAUUCGAAACUGGCAGGCUAGCGUCUUGUAGAGGGGGGUAGAAUUCCAGGUGUAGCGGUCAAAUGCGUAGAGAUCUGGAGGAAUACCGGUGGCGAAGGCGGCCCCCUGGACAAAGACUGACGCUCAGGUGCGAAAGCGUGGGGAGCAAACAGGAUUAGAUACCCGAGUAGUC
rnacentral:rRNA from 1 species